rnacentral:rRNA from 1 species
CCUACGGGGGGCAGCAGUGGGGAAUAUUGGACAAUGGGGGGAACCCUGAUCCAGCGACGCCGCGUGAGUGAAGAAGUAUUUCGGUAUGUUAAGCUCUAUCAGCAGGGAAGAAAGAAAUGACGGUACCUGACUAAGAAGCCUCGGCUAACUACGUGCCAGCAGCCGCGGUAAUACGUAGGGGGCAAGAGUUAUCCGGAUUUACUGGGUGUAAAGGGAGCGUAGACGGCGAUGCAAGUCUGAAGUGAAAGGCGGGGGCCCAACCCCCGGACUGGUUUGGAAACUGGAUGGCUGGAGUGCAGGGGAGGUAAGUGGAAUUCGUAGUGUAGCGGUGAAAUGCGUAGAUAUUAGGAAGAACACCAGUGGCGAAGGCAGCUUACUGGAGUGUAACUGACGUUGAGGCUCGAAAGCGUGGGGAGCGAACAGGAUUAGAUACCCGUGUAGUC